AAACAAAAAAAAAGAUUAUUUCCUCAAUAACAAAUAAAACCACUUAACUCAUUAGGCUCUGUUUUCAAAUGAUAUUGCUUUAAAACAGUCUAGUCAUUUUUUGUCAAAUGUGUAUAUUUGAUGCAUAAUAGAUAAGUACACACAGCAAUAUAUAAUAUGGAUAUAACUCCAUAAUAAUUUUAGUUUUGUCUUUGUAGGAUCCUUGGCCCAAACUGACAACCUUCAUUCAAAGCCACUAUCUGAAGGGAAGAGAGACGAAUCUAAAGAAUCUCUGUCAAAUUGGAAAGCCAGCUGCUGCUUUGUGACCUUAUUUUGAAUUUCAACCAUCCCCUGAAGGCCAAAGAUUUAAGAGAAGCUGAAGAAAAAACUCGGAGUUUGACAGAUUAAGUAAUACCAUCCAUUUUCAUACAUUGUCUUCUAUUAAUAGCAAUUGAGU
rnacentral:lncRNA from 1 species